AUAAGUUCCGAUUAGUUGGUNCCAUCAANCGCGUUAUACGAGGGAGCUAGCNUAUUCNAAAUUCUNGGUGUACAGCGNGCGUAGGUGNUUUUUAAGUNAGAGGUGAAAGCCGGGNGCUCAUCCCCGGAAUGCCCUUUGAAUGGGAAGACUAGAAUCUAGUAGAGGUCAGUGGAAUUCGGAGUGUAGAGGUGACAUUCGUAGAUAUUAGGAAGAACGCCAGUGCNGAAGACGUUCUGUGUGGCCAAGUAUUUACUCUGAGUUGUGAAAGCGUGGGGAGCACACAGGAUUAGAUCCCGUGGUAUUCCCCCCCGUAAGCGAUGAUACCUAACUGUCCGGGUUCAUAGACCUUGGGUGGCGCAGCUAUCGCAUUAAGUUAUCCGCAUGGGGAGUACGGUCGCAAGAUUAAAACUCAAAGGAAUUGAUGGGGGCUUGCCCAAGCGGUGGACCAUGUGGUUUAAUUCGAAGCAACGCGCAGAUCCUUACCAGCGUUUGACAUCCUGAUCGCGGAUUAGAGAGAUCUUUUCCUUCAGUUCGGCUGGAUCAGUGACAGGUGCUGCAUGGCUGUCGUCAGCUCGUGUCGUGAGAUGUUGGGUUAAGUCCCGCAACGAGCGCAACCCUCAUCCUUAGUUCCCAUCAUUCAGUUGGGCCCUCUAAGGAAACUGCCGGUGAUAAUCCGGAGGAAGGUGGGGAUGACGUCAAGUCCUCAUGGCCCUUACGCGCUGGGCUACACACGUGCUACAAUGGCAAUUACAGUGGGCAGCAACCGUGCGAGCGGUAGCUAAUCUCCAAAAGUUGUCUCAGUUCGGAUUGUUCUCUGCAACUCGAGAGCAUGAAGGCGGAAUCGCUAGUAAUCGCGGAUCAGCAUGCCGCGGUGAAUACGUUCCCAGGCCUUGUACACCCCGCCCGUCACACCAUGGGAG
rnacentral:rRNA from 1 species